AGCAGCCGCGGUAAUUCCAGCUCCAAUAGCGUAUAUUAAAGUUGUUGCAGUUAAAAAGCUCGGUAGUUGAAUUUCGGGGUUAGUAGGUUGGUCAUGCCUCUGGUAUGUACCUGGUCUCACUGAUUCCUCCUUCCUGAUGAGCCGUAAUGCCAUUAAUUUGGUGUUGCCGGGGAAUUUGGACUGUUACUUUGAAAAAAUUAGAGUGUUUAAAGCAAGCUAACGCUUGAAUACAUUAGCAUGGAAUAAUGAAAUAGGACGUUCGAUCCUAUUUUGUUGGUUUCUAGGAUUGACGUAAUGAUUAAUAGGGAUAGUUGGGGGCAUUAGUAUUCAAUUGUCAGAGGUGAAAUUCUUGGAUUUAUUGAAGACUAACUACUGCGAAAGCAUUUGCCAAGGAUGUUUUCAUUAAUCAAGAACGAAAGUUAGGGGAUCGAAGACGAUCAGAUACCGUCGUAGUCUUAACCAUAAACUAUGCCGACUAGGGAUCGGAUGAUGUAAUUUUUAAUGACUCAUUCGGCGCCUU
rnacentral:rRNA from 1 species